GAAUUAAAUUAAAUAAGCUGCUAACUUAUUAUAUAGCUAAGAGUUAUUAAUUCU
rnacentral:tRNA from 1 species